GCCCAGGUGGUGAAAUUGGUAGACACGCCAUCUUGAGGGGGUGGUGACUUUAUAGUCGUGCAGGUUCAAGUCCUGUCCUGGGCACCA
rnacentral:tRNA from 1 species